AUCGAACGCUGGCGGCAUGCCUUACACAUGCAAGUCGAACGGAAGCACGGGGGCUUGCACCUGGUGGCGAGUGGCGAACGGGUGAGUAAUACAUGGGAAAAUGUCCCGUAGUGGGGGAUAGACCGGCGAAAGCCGGAUUAAUACCGCAUAAGAACCACGGACGAAAGCGGGGGAGCUGGGGGGCUCGCGCUAUAGGGUUGGCCGAUGGCGGAUGAGCGAGUUUGUGGGGGAAAGGGCUACCAAGGCGACGAUCAGUAGCUGGUCUGAGAGGACGACCAGCCACACUGGGACUGAGACACGGCCCAGACUCCUACGGGAGGCAGCAGUGGGGAAUUUUGGACAAUGGGCGAAAGCCUGAUCCAGCAAUGCCGCGUGUGUGAAGAAGGCCUUCGGGUUGUAAAGCACUUUUGUCCGGAAAGAAAUCCUUGACUCUAAUACAGUCGGGGGAUGACGGUACCGGAAGAAUAAGCACCGGCUAACUACGUG
rnacentral:rRNA from 1 species